GAUGAACGCUGGCGGCGUGCCUAACACAUGCAAGUCGAGCGGCAGCGAGGGGUGCUUGCACCCUGUCGGCGAGCGGCGGACGGCUGAGUAACGCGUGGGAACGUGCCCCAAAGUGAGGAAUAACUGCCCGAAAGGGUAGCUAAUACCGCAUAUUAUCUUCGGAUCAAAGGAUUUAUCCGCUUUGGGAGCGGCUCGCGUCGGAUUAGGUAGUUGGUGAGGUAAUGGCUCACCAAGCCGACGAUCCGUAGCUGGUCUGAGAGGAUGACCAGCCAGACUGGAAUUGAGACACGGUCCAGACUCCUGCGGGGGGAGCAGUGAGGAAUCUACCACAAGGGGCGAAAGCCUGAUGGAGCAACGCCGCGUGCAGGACGAAGGGCUUCGGGUUGUAAACUGCUUUUAUAAGUGAGGAAUAUGACGGUAACUGAUGAAUAAGGAUCGGCUAACUACGUG
rnacentral:rRNA from 1 species